CUGAGCAGGAACAGGCCACAAACCAGGAUGAGAGCCUCCUUCAGACAGAGCUUCUGCCGCAGGAGCUCUAAGUCUCACAGCAGACCUUGAGAAAACUGAGGAGGCCUAAGAAGCCACAAAAACCUUGGACCCAUGUAAGUUCUCCAGCCUUGGAUCAAGGCCUCCUCAGAAUAAGACACUUUUGAUAUCUCUGACCUCUCCAGUGAGGCAAAUACCAGCUGACCUCCACGUGAUCCAGCUACAAUCAGAUAUAGGUCUGCCUGAAGAAAAGAAAAUAUCAAAAAUGAGUUAAGAUACAGAAAACCUGAGACUAGAAUUACUGAGAAGCCUGACAUUCAACAGAAUGUGGCCCUGUGAGGGGAACAACCACAUGGAGUGUACAGAUGUUGAUGAGCAAGACUUUUCUAUAAGUUCAAUGAUGACAACUUUGGCAGUUGACUGUAUCCUCAGCCCUCUCUGUGUGAUAGGAAAUCUUCCAUAGAAGACUGUGUUGAUGCCAACCAGUUCCAGAAAGACUCACCCAAAACAUCAAAUUUCAUUCUCCAGUCCAGUCUUGAAGCUGAGUCCAUGCAUAAUUGUUGAUGAAGAAAAUUCACUCCAGAGAUGGUGGCAGUCCCUCACCCCUCCUGUGAGCCAUGUGAUCCUCCAUAAGUAAGACUAAUAGGAAUUCUUCAGUUUUCCAGCCCAGACUAAAGUGACUGGUCCUGAGAAAGGAUUUUUAGAAGACAUCUGAGUCAUCUUUGAUGUUCUUGGGCACUCAGAUGCUGUUCCCGGUUUUCUUGGGUCUCUGGAAAUCACACAAGUGUAUGUUGGCUGAAAGAGUCAAACUGUGGCCACCACAUUACAGGAUUGGCAGUGUGUGAUAUUUAUCAAAUCUUCCCAUAGGGCCACAAAGAAUGUUCUUGGAACUUGUCUCAUACUUAGUCUUGAUGACGGCUUGACUUGCAAAGCCCCAAUGAGGCAUUGCUGUACUGGCUUUCAAAAGCUUUUUAUAUAUGGUGACUGCCUUCCCACCUUGUUUCCAAGGCCAGCCAUAAGCUGUAGUCUGUGCUGCUAAAUCUGCAGCAAGAGACUCUGGCUUAGCUUAAUUUUUCACUUGGGUUUUGGUUGGGUAUUGUUUGCUUUGGGUUUUUUGAUUGUUUGUUUAUUUCAUUUGUUAUGUUUUGAGAUUUUGCUGUUUAUUUGUUCUUUCUUUUGUUCUUUUUGUUGCAUUGGUAUUUUGUUAAGGUUUCUCACUGUUUAUGUUGAUUGCUCCCUUUAAGCCCC
rnacentral:lncRNA from 1 species